rnacentral:rRNA from 1 species
UAGAGUUUGAUCCUGGCUCAGGACGAACGCUGGUGGCGUGCUUAACACAUGCAAGUCGAACGGUGAAGCCCAGCUUGCUGGGUGGAUCAGUGGCGAACGGGUGAGUAACACGUGAGCAACCUGCCCUCCACUUCGGGAUAAGCCUUGGAAACGAGGUCUAAUACCGGAUAUGAGCGCCUGCCGCAUGGUGGGUGUUGGAAAGUUUUUCGGUGGGGGAUGGGCUCGCGGCCUAUCAGCUUGUUGGUGGGGUAAUGGCCUACCAAGGCGUCGACGGGUAGCCGGCCUGAGAGGGCGACCGGCCACACUGGGACUGAGACACGGCCCAGACUCCUACGGGAGGCAGCAGUGGGGAAUAUUGCACAAUGGGCGAAAGCCUGAUGCAGCGACGCCACGUGAGGGAUGAGGCCUUCGGGUUGUAAACCUCUUUCAGCAGGGAAGAAGCGCAAGUGACGGUACCUGCAGAAGAAGCGCCGGCUAACUACGUGCCAGCAGCCGCGGUAAUACGUAGGGCGCAAGCGUUGUCCGGAAUUAUUGGGCGUAAAGAGCUCGUAGGCGGUCUGUCGCGUCUGGUGUGAAAUCUCAUGGCUCAACUGUGGCUUGCAUCGGGUACGGGCAGACUAGAGUGCUGUAGGGGAGACUGGAAUUCCUGGUGUAGCGGUGGAAUGCGCAGAUAUCAGGAGGAACACCGAUGGCGAAGGCAGGUCUCUGGGCAGUUACUGACGCUGAGGAGCGAAAGCAUGGGGAGCGAACAGGAUUAGAUACCCUGGUAGUCCAUGCCGUAAACGUUGGGCACUAGGUGUGGGGCCAGUUCCACUGGUUCUGUGCCGUAGCUAACGCAUUAAGUGCCCCGCCUGGGGAGUACGGCGCAAGGCUAAAACUCAAAGGAAUUGACGGGGGCCCGCACAAGCGGCGGAGCAUGCGGAUUAAUUCGAUGCAACGCGAAGAACCUUACCAAGGCUUGACAGUACGAGAAAGCCCCAGAGAUGGGGUUCUCUUUGGACACUCGUACACAGGUGGUGCAUGGUUG